CUAUUUAAUUAUAAUGAUGAUGACAUUAAAUGUAAAUUUUAUCAAUCAAUAAAUUAUUUCCUAUUGAUUUCAUGUCAAUCAAACUAUUCCAACAUUCAAUUUAAUUUCGAUACAAAAUCAAUCAUCAAUCUACCUUGGAUAUGCUAAAAAGUGACAAAUUAAGCUCAGCUACCGCUAAAAACGUUGAUUAAUGCAUCGAAUGUGUCAUCAUCGCACAAAAUUUUGGGCGCAAAAUUAUUUAAAAUCCGACAGAGAUUCAAAGGAGCAUGAACAUAAGAGUAGUGAAAUGGAAUUGAAUUUGCUUUUGCCAAACUCGCACUGGACUGCUGCGCUGGCCCACAAAGAUUAUUACGAUGGCAAACGGAUUAAAAGCUUUUGAUGUUAUGGUCAUACCGGACAUCAAUGUGGCCAGAUGUUGGUGUUGGUGUUUGGAGGGCAGUGCACAAACUGAUAUGAAAUAGUGGGGGCUCCUUGAAGAGCAAGAAUGUAAAUAUUGCGAGAUUAAUGGUAUCCACAAAUGAGACAAAAUGUUGAAGUGAAGUUCAGAGAGUAAAUUAUUUAUAAGAGCCCUUAACAAUCAUACAACCCAGUACCUUUGUUGUGAAAUAAAAUUUAUAAAAUAUUUAACAAAAAUUACAAAAUAAAAAAACAAAAACAAUUGUGUUC